UCAGCCAUGCAUAAAUGGGGUGCCCCGGUUGCAAGGAGCAGGACUCCACCUCCAACGAGCAGCAGUCAAGUCCUCCACCACUCCUCCAAGGACCGUGUCCGGGAAGUCUGGGCCUAGGGGACCGACCCUUCUGGUGGUUGCUGCUGCCUGCAAGUAUCAAAGAGUUGCCGGGGCAGACUUGCUGGCUGUUCCUUUUUCCUAUGCAUAUACUUCUUUGUGGAACUGGUCUAAAGAGGUGUAGCGCAUGGGAAAAUGGAGCAGUGAGAUCUUCCCCACCAGAAGGAUGUGCUUAGACCUGCUUCCGGACCAGGCGACUUCUGCUUCCCUCCCACUGGACCCGGGGCUGGGAGCUUUCCUGUCAGCUCUGGGCACUGUAAGAAGAGCCGCACUGCCUUUCCUGUGUCUUCAAGGGAACAGUGCUGGCCCUACCCAAGCCAAUCUUAGGGACCACUCAGGUGUUAGAAUGGAGGACUUUCACUGGGUGGGGGAACUCUGGGGGCAGAGCCGACUGAUCCAAGGUCUUACAGUGUUAGAACAGAUCUGUCUAAGUUUGGGCUUAGGCAAUCCUGGGUUCUGGGGACCUCGGAGGGGUGGGUAGGAUCAGGACUUGAUCUUUGAAAUUUUCUUUAAGGUAUGAAAUCAGUGUAUGAAAACAUUUCACAAUAGUGAAUGACCACGGGUCUGAUGUUGGAGGAGAUAAAAGGGCCGGCUGAGGGUUCAGCGGGCUCUGGGUUCAGUCUGUAUUGUUUCCUGUCACCAUUUUACAUUUUAACAAUGAUGGGUAUGAUUGAUUUAUAUUUAUAUUUAUUUUUUGAGCUUAAGUUCAGGCUAAAGCUGGGUGUCUCUUGGUGGCAGAAUGCUUCCCAUUAAUGGGUGAGGAGGUCAUGGGUUCAAUUUCCAGAACUGAGGGAAAAUAAAAAUCAGGAAAACUGACAAAAAUAAAAUUUUGAGCCAUGUUGUUCUGUUA